GACGAACGCUGGCGGCGUGCUUAACACAUGCAAGUCGAGCGGAAAGGCCCUUCGGGGUACUCGAGCGGCGAACGGGUGAGUAACACGUGAGUAACCUGCCCCAGACUUUGGGAUAACCCUCGGAAGCGGGGGCUAAUACCGGAUACGACACAGCUUCGCAUGGGGUCUGUGUGGAAAGUUUUUCGGUUUGGGAUGGGCUCGCGGCCUAUCAGCUUGUUGGUGGGGUGAUGGCCUACCAAGGCGACGACGGGUAGCCGGCCUGAGAGGGCGACCGGCCACACUGGGACUGAGACACGGCCCAGACUCCUACGGGAGGCAGCAGUGGGGAAUAUUGCACAAUGGGCGGAAGCCUGAUGCAGCGACGCCGCGUGAGGGAUGACGGCCUUCGGGUUGUAAACCCCUUUCAGCAGGGACGAAGCGUAAGUGACGGUACCUGCAGAAGAAGCGCCGGCCAACUACGUG
rnacentral:rRNA from 1 species